rnacentral:rRNA from 1 species
AGAUAGCAGUAGCCGCGGGAAUACGAAGGGUGCAAGCGUUACUCGGAAUUACUGGGCGUAAAGCGUGCGUAGGUGGUGGUUUAAGUCCGUUGUGAAAGCCCUGGGCUCAACCUGGGAAUUGCAGUGGAUACUGGGUCACUAGAGUGUGGUAGAGGAUAGUGGAAUUUCCGGUGUAGCAGUGAAAUGCGUAGAGAUCGGAAGGAACAUCUGUGGCGAAGGUGACUAUCUGGGCCAACACUGACACUGAGGCACGAAAGCGUGGGGAGCAAACAGGAUUAGAUACCCCCGUAGUCCCUGUCUCUUAUAC